rnacentral:rRNA from 1 species
CCUACGGGAGGCAGCAGUGGGGAAUAUUGCACAAUGGAGGGAACUCUGAUGCAGCGACGCCGCGUGAGUGAAGAAGGAUUUCGGUUUGUAAACCUCUAUUAUUAGGGAAGAAAGUGACGGUAUCUGAAAAAUAAGCUCCGGCUAAAUACGUGCCAGCAGCCGCGGUACUACGUAGGGAGCAAGCGUUACUCGGAUGUACUGGGCGUAAAGGGAGAGUAGGUGGGUGAGCAAGUCCGAUGUGAAAGCCCAAAGCUGAACUAGAGGAAUGCAUUAGAAACUGCUCGUCUAGAGUGCAGGAGAGGCAGGUGGAAUUCUUGGUGUAGCGGUGAAAUGCGUAGAUAUUAGGAGGAACACCGAUGGCGAAGGCGGCUUGCUGGAAUGUAACUGACGCUGAGGCUCGAAAGCGUGGGGAGCAAACAGGAUUAGAUACCCGUGUAGUC